CGCAACCCUUGUCCUAUGUUGCCAGCGGUUCGGCCGGGGACUCAUAGGAGACUGCCGGGGAGUAACUCGGAGGAAGGUGAGGACGACGUCAAGUCAUCAUGCCCCUUAUGUCCAGGGCUGCACGCAUGCUACAAUGGUCGGUACAACGGGCUGCGAUCCCGCGAGGGUGAGCGAAUCCCUAAAAACCGGCCUCAGUUCGGAUUGGAGUCUGCAACUCGACUCCAUGAAGUCGGAGUCGCUAGUAAUCGCGGAUCAGCUAAGCCGCGGUGAAUGCGUUCUCGGGGAUU
rnacentral:rRNA from 1 species